rnacentral:rRNA from 1 species
UUAAGCGACUAAGCGUACACGGUGGAUGCCCUGGCAGUCAGAGGCGAUGAAGGACGUGCUAAUCUGCGAAAAGCGCCGGCGAGGUGAUAUGAACCUUUGACCCGGCGAUGUCCGAAUGGGGAAACCCAGUGUGAUUCGUCACACUAUCGUUAACUGAAUACAUAGAUAGGUUAACGAGGCGAACCGGGGGAACUGAAACAUCUAAGUACCCCGAGGAAAAGAAAUCAACCGAGAUUCCCCCAGUAGCGGCGAGCGAACGGGGAGCAGCCCAGAGUCUGAAUCAGCUUGUGUGUUAGUGGAACGGUCUGGAAAGUCCGGCGAUACAGGGUGACAGCCCCGUACACGAAAGCACACAGGCUGUGAACUCGAAGAGUAGGGCGGGACACGUGGUAUCCUGUCUGAAUAUGGGGGGACCAUCCUCCAAGGCUAAAUACUCCUGACUGACCGAUAGUGAACCAGUACCGUGAGGGAAAGGCGAAAAGAACCCCGGCGAGGGGAGUGAAAAAGAACCUGAAACCGUGUACGUACAAGCAGUGGGAGCACCUUCGUGGUGUGACUGCGUACCUUUUGUAUAAUGGGUCAGCGACUUAUAUUCUGUAGCAAGGUUAACCGUAUAGGGGAGCCGAAGGGAAACCGAGUCUUAACUGGGCGUUAAGUUGCAGGGUAUAGACCCGAAACCCGGUGAUCUAGCCAUGGGCAGGUUGAAGGUUGGGUAACACUAACUGGAGGACCGAACCGACUAAUGUUGAAAAAUUAGCGGAUGACUUGUGGCUGGGGGUGAAAGGCCAAUCAAACCGGGAGAUAGCUGGUUCUCCCCGAAAGCUAUUUAGGUAGCGCCUCGUGAACUCAUCUUCGGGGGUAGAGCACUGUUUCGGCUAGGGGGCCAUCCCGGCUUACCAACCCGAUGCAAACUACGAAUACCGAAGAAUGUUAUCACGGGAGACACACGGCGGGUGCUAACGUCCGUCGUGAAGAGGGAAACAACCCAGACCGCCAGCUAAGGUCCCAAAGUCAUGGUUAAGUGGGAAACGAUGUGGGAAGGCACAGACAGCCAGGAUGUUGGCUUAGAAGCAGCCAUCAUUUAAAGAAAGCGUAAUAGCUCACUGGUCGAGUCGGCCUGCGCGGAAGAUGUAACGGGGCUAAACCAUGCACCGAAGCUGCGGCAGCGACACUAUGUGUUGUUGGGUAGGGGAGCGUUCUGUAAGCCGUUGAAGGUGUGCUGUGAGGCAUGCUGGAGGUAUCAGAAGUGCGAAUGCUGACAUAAGUAACGAUAAAGCGGGUGAAAAGCCCGCUCGCCGGAAGACCAAGGGUUCCUGUCCAACGUUAAUCGGGGCAGGGUGAGUCGACCCCUAAGGCGAGGCCGAAAGGCGUAGUCGAUGGGAAACAGGUUAAUAUUCCUGUACUUGGUGUUACUGCGAAGGGGGGACGGAGAAGGCUAUGUUAGCCGGGCGACGGUUGUCCCGGUUUAAGCAUGUAGGCGGAACGAUUAGGUAAAUCCGGUCGUUUAUUAACGCUGAGGUGUGAUGACGAGGCACUACGGUGCUGAAGUAACAAAUGCCCUGCUUCCAGGAAAAGCCUCUAAGCAUCAGGUAACAUCAAAUCGUACCCCAAACCGACACAGGUGGUCAGGUAGAGAAUACCAAGGCGCUUGAGAGAACUCGGGUGAAGGAACUAGGCAAAAUGGUGCCGUAACUUCGGGAGAAGGCACGCUGAUAUGUAGGUGAAGCCCCUGCGGGUGGAGCUGAAAUCAGUCGAAGAUACCAGCUGGCUGCAACUGUUUAUUAAAAACACAGCACUGUGCAAACACGAAAGUGGACGUAUACGGUGUGACGCCUGCCCGGUGCCGGAAGGUUAAUUGAUGGGGUUAGCGGCAACGCGAAGCUCUUGAUCGAAGCCCCGGUAAACGGCGGCCGUAACUAUAACGGUCCUAAGGUAGCGAAAUUCCUUGUCGGGUAAGUUCCGACCUGCACGAAUGGCGUAAUGAUGGCCAGGCUGUCUCCACCCGAGACUCAGUGAAAUUGAACUCGCUGUGAAGAUGCAGUGUACCCGCGGCAAGACGGAAAGACCCCGUGAACCUUUACUAUAGCUUGACACUGAACACUGGUCCUUGAUGUGUAGGAUAGGUGGGAGGCUUUGAAGCGUGGACGCCAGUCUGCGUGGAGCCGCCCUUGAAAUACCACCCUUUAAUGGCUGGUGUUCUAACGUAGACCCGUAAUCCGGGUUGCGGACAGUGUCUGGUGGGUAGUUUGACUGGGGCGGUCUCCUCCCAAAGAGUAACGGAGGAGCACGAAGGUUAGCUAAUCCUGGUCGGACAUCAGGAGGUUAGUGCAAUGGCAUAAGCUAGCUUGACUGCGAGAGUGACGGCUCGAGCAGGUGCGAAAGCAGGUCAUAGUGAUCCGGUGGUUCUGAAUGGAAGGGCCAUCGCUCAACGGAUAAAAGGUACUCCGGGGAUAACAGGCUGAUACCGCCCAAGAGUUCAUAUCGACGGCGGUGUUUGGCACCUCGAUGUCGGCUCAUCACAUCCUGGGGCUGAAGUAGGUCCCAAGGGUAUGGCUGUUCGCCAUUUAAAGUGGUACGCGAGCUGGGUUUAGAACGUCGUGAGACAGUUCGGUCCCUAUCUGCCGUGGGCGCUGGAGAAUUGAGGGGGGCUGCUCCUAGUACGAGAGGACCGGAGUGGACGCAUCACUGGUGUUCGGGUUGUCAUGCCAAUGGCACUGCCCGGUAGCUAAAUGCGGAAAAGAUAAGUGCUGAAAGCAUCUAAGCACGAAACUUGCCCCGAGAUGAGUUCUCCCUGACCCUUUAAGGGUCCUGAAGGAACGUUGAAGACGACGACGUUGAUAGGUCGGGUGUGUAAGCGCAGCGAUGCGUUGAGCUAACCGAUACUAAUGAACCGUGAGGCUUAACCUU